GAUGAACGCUGGCGGCGUGCCUAAUACAUGCAAGUCGAGCGAACAGAUGAGGAGCUUGCUCCUCUGACGUUAGCGGCGGACGGGUGAGUAACACGUGGAUAACCUACCUAUAAGACUGGGAUAACUUCGGGAAACCGGAGCUAAUACCGGAUAAUAUAUUGAACCGCAUGGUUCAAUAGUGAAAGACGGUUUUGCUGUCACUUAUAGAUGGAUCCGCGCCGCAUUAGCUAGUUGGUAAGGUAACGGCUUACCAAGGCAACGAUGCGUAGCCGACCUGAGAGGGUGAUCGGCCACACUGGAACUGAGACACGGUCCAGACUCCUACGGGAGGCAGCAGUGGGGAAUCUUCCGCAAUGGGCGAAAGCCUGACGGAGCAACGCCGCGUGAGUGAUGAAGGUCUUCGGAUCGUAAAACUCUGUUAUUAGGGAAGAACAAAUGUGUAAGUAACUAUGCACGUCCUGACGGUACCUAAUCAGAAAGCCACGGCUAACUACGUG
rnacentral:rRNA from 1 species